rnacentral:rRNA from 1 species
UACGGAGGGGGCUAGCGUUGUUCGGAAUUACUGGGCGUAAAGCGCGCGUAGGCGGCUUUGUAAGUUAGAGGUGAAAGCCCAGGGCUCAACCCUGGAAUUGCCUUUAAGACUGCAUCGCUUGAAUCAUGGAGAGGUGAGUGGAAUUCCGAGUGUAGAGGUGAAAUUCGUAGAUAUUCGGAAGAACACCAGUGGCGAAGGCGACUCACUGGACAUGUAUUGACGCUGAGGUGCGAAAGCGUGGGGAGCAAACAGG